rnacentral:lncRNA from 1 species
AGGGCCUGCUUUUCCUUCUCCAGGGCCUCUUGGAGGGUGACUACCUUGGCUGCCUUUCCUUUGAGGUGAGCGACUUCGGCCCGACGACUCUCCUCCGCCUGGAUGGCGUCCCCCCUCGCCCGGUUCGUCACCUCGAUAUUGGCAAGAAGUUGGUGCCCGAUCUGCAAGGGCGGCUAGGAGGUCAGAAUGAAGGUUGAGAGGCUAAUCAAAUGAAGGUGCGAAGGGAAGGGGGAAGGUGAAUCUGUUUACCUCGAGAAAGGAUCCUAGGGAGUCCCAAACCCACUGUUCGGGCAGGAUGCAGCCAUCAAUCAGCCGCUUUAUCAAGUCCUUGUCAUUGAAGGGAUUCUCUCCCGGCUC